UACGUAGGGGGCGAGCGUUGUCCGGAUUCAUUGGGCGUAAAGAGCUCGUAGGCGGUUUGGCAAGUCAGGUGUGAAAACUCCAGGCUUAACUGGGGAGGGUCGUGCGAUACGGGCGGACUGGAGGCCAGUAGGGGGAUGCGGAAUUCCGGGUGUAGUGGUGGAAUGCGUAGAGAUCCGGAGGAACACCAGCGGCGAAGGCGGCAUCCUGGACUGGUCCUGACACUCAAGAGCGAAAGCGUGGGGAGCGAUCCGG
rnacentral:rRNA from 1 species